GGGGAGGAGUGAGGGGCGGGGAAUCACUGCGAUUGCGGGGGGCGUCCUAGUGGCGAGGAGCUUCCUCCAGCACCGCCGGGUCUGGCGUGAGAUCCCUCCGGACCUCCAGCUGAAGCCCGCCACCGCGCGCGGCCGGGAGCGAGGAUGGAGAGGCUGGUGUUCAGGAGGCUCUUCUGUCAUCUGUUCACCUGCAAUCUGAUCUGGUUCUUGUCAGCUCUGAUGCUAUGCGAGGCACAAGUGGUGACCCAGGAUGUAAGAGAGCCGCUGAACACACCUGCUUCUUUAAGCUGCUCUCUGCAAAAUCCCCAAGAAGUCUUGAUUGUGACAUGGCAAAAAAUCAAGGCUGUAAGUCCGGAAAACAUGAUCACCUUCAGCGAGAACCAUGGGGUUGUAGUCCAGCCUGCCUAUAAGGACAAGAUAAACAUCACCCAGCUGGGACUCAUGAACUCAACCAUUACCUUCUGGAAUACCACCUUGGAGGAUGAGGGGUGUUACAAGUGCCUCUUCAAUACCUUUGGUUCUGGGAAGAUCUCAGGAGUAGCCUGCCUCACCCUCUCUGUACAGCCCACAGUUUUCCUUCACUACAAAUUCUCUGAAGACCACCUAAAUAUCACUUGCUCUGCCAAUGCUCGCCCAGCCCCUGUGAUCUCCUGGAAGGUCUCUGGGUCGGGGAUUGAGAACAGUACUGAGAUUCUCUCACACCCCAAUGGGACAACAUCUGUCACCAGCAUCCUCCAGGUCAAAGACCCCAAGAGUCAGGUGGGGAAGGAGGUGAUCUGCCAGGUGCUGUACCUGGGGACUGUGACCAACUACAGGGAAACGGUGAACAAAGGUAAGAGAGAGUGGGCCGAGAUGGCGGUGGUCACAUCUGCAGACACACGCGUGGAAGGCGCUGAAUGCUCUGCAGAGCCUCUCAGCCUCUUAGCAAAGGAGCUGAUAAGAGACAGAAUGGGGCUUUUGGUUUUCAGUUCCACUGUUGUUAAGUAUUGUUUCCCUGGUAAUUCUUCUGGUCUUAAUCUCAAUUCUACUGUACUGGAAACGCCGUCGGAACCAAGACCGAGGCAACCACACUCUUGUCAGAAGUGGACAUGAGGUGGAGGUGGAGAUACGGGGCUGGGUAGAGAGAAAAGCUGCUGGGCUUUGCUUCAACACAAGCAGGGGCCCUACUGCACCAUCCAGGAUGAUCUGGCACUUCCUUAUGCUGAGGACAAGCCCAAAGGAAAAAAAACACACAAAAGUUAAAGUCUUUUCUAUUUAGCAUCAACUUUCUGAAUACAGUCCAGCAGCAGAAAGGCACUGAAACGCAGCUGCUCGGCUGAUACACUUCAAAUCCAGGAUCCUGGAUCUGGUGGUGGUGUUUAGCUUGUAUGUAGUAAUUCCCUUAACUUGUAUUGGUUUCCCUUCUUAUAAAUCAAAGACAAUCCCGUAAAUAGCUCACAUAAAAUUAAGUCAGAUGCUGGCUUAAAUUAAACGCUCUUAAGUAAUGUGUUGACUAAUAAACCAGAUGGCUCUCAGGUAAGAAGCAUUAAAAUCUCAUUGAUGGGGAAGAAGUUGGAGGGAAGCACAUGGAUACCUUCAUGGGUGAGUAGCACUGGCCUGGACCAGUGUUUGUGAAAUGUAGCCUAAAGGCAGCCUAGAAUUGGAUUCCCCCUUUUCACUUGUCCCAGUGCAUUCUAUGAGACCAAGCCAGUUCUGGGGCUGCCCAUGCAUGGUUGGAACCACUUGGGGAAAGGAGACACUUUUCUCUACUGUGUCUUAGGACUAACCUCAAUUUACAAAUCCCUUGAAAAGAGAGAAUCUAUUCCUCAAGGGAAGCCUACGCUUACCAAGUUGUAUUUGAUUUGACCGGGCCCUAUCCCCAAAGUGUCAUCGGAAGCCAACAUCUUGUAUAAACAAAGGUCAGCAACAGUUUGAGGUCUAGCAUGUCCGGAACUGACUGGCACCUGUGCCCCUGGGAAGGCUGCGUCUCCUCGUGCGUGCCGAGGGGCGCAGUAAGAGACUGAGUAAGAGUCAGAAGUCAGAGUCAGAAGAGAUUUCAGAAAUAAGAAAACAGGGCUCAACAUGUCAGAUGGCUCGCUGAAAUCACACAAACCUCAAUCCUUUACCAGGACACAGGAGAGAACCAGGCAACAGGAAUUCCCAACAUAGCUACAGACCAAAGACUCUUAUGCAGCAUGAUGGAAUCUGCUUGAGGGUGCUGGCUCAGCCAAGAAAAACUUUUCUCAAUUUAAAUAUAGCUUCAAGACAAUGGGGCUUUACUGAAACCCCAGACUUCCCUGAACUGCCUCCCUCUGUGUGAGGCUCAAUGCUGUUCCUAUCACUGGUUUUUGAUGUACCUCCAGCUUCCUUGGCAGUGAACAGGUAAACAACUGGUUUGAUAGAUAAUAUGUAGUUUUAACCUGAUGCUUAAAUUUUGGAAAACUCUUUCCCUUGGAUAGAAUAGUUUUGAUUGUCUUCAGCAAAGGUAUUUUUUGAGGGGAGAAUGUUGACGGGAAAGAGAGAGUGAGGGCGAGGGAGUAAGUGAGCACAUUCUUGGGUAGGGAAGGGAAAGUUUCCAGACAUAUCAGGUUAGAAACAAAAACAAGAAUACCCCCAAACCAUUUAAGAAGCUAACACUUAUAAGGGUAGACUUGAAUGAAUUUCCACUCACUCUCAUCAAGUUUCAGAAGCUAAGCAUAUCAGAGAGAACAAUUCAAAAGUGGUGAAAAGAGAAAGAGAAAGAAAGCAAGUGAUCUCACAAGUGUGGGGGCUGAGAUGAAACAGAGGUAUUCGAUGAAGUCGUGAUAACUGGUUUUUAUACCAAUGAAGUGUCUAUGAAUUUUCUGGCCCUACAGUGGUUAGAGAAUGACACUGCAUUUCUCUUUACUGUUUUAUACGUGUAUUUAUACUAGUUGUGUCCAUGGCAAUCAGAACAGCAGCCUGUGUCUUGCAGUGGGUACCAUUUUAUCAAGCACUGUGGGUAGUCACCCAACUGUUCAGGGUCUGGAGAGAUUGCAGCAGAGGGAGGCACUGAAAAAAUUCGUCUCUUAGAGAAAUGUAACACUUAAUGGCAGACAGAAUAAACCUACUUGCAUGUAUUUAAAAACAACUUGUGAAAUUUCGUGAAGUAAUGUCAUGAAUGGGAAAUAAAUUUAGAGAUGUAUUUAUUAAAAUUCAAUUUAUACU